CAAAAUCAUUUUUAAUAUUCAUAUGAAGAAAUCGCAAGUCGGAUCACAUAGGAAGUGGUACAGGCAGGAUAUCACAUUUAACAUUUAUUUAUCAACUUAUAGCUUACAUUGACAUAGAUCGAUUCACACAUUGAUUCGUACCUAUAGCAAUAGGGACGUCAAAAUGAACGCGCGCGUACGUGAGUUCUAUUGUACCUAAUACGACAGUUAUAAAGCACGUAAGAUCGGUACCUACCCAGUUACUUCCUCACUUCACGCAAUUGAAGUUAGGUACCUAGUAACAAGUGUAAAUUAAAAAUUUAUAACACCCGACAAGUUCAUUAGUUUAGGAGCUACGAUGCCACAGACAGAUACACACGUCAAACUUAUAAUACCUCUCUUUUUGGGUCGGCGGUCAAAAAUUAAAUUUUGUGCAGCUGAAAAGUGUACGAAUUUAUAACACAUUGAUCAAGCACUGUUGGUACGAAAAUGUGUGAAUAGAGCUCUAAUUUUAUACACCUGCUUUAUUCAAAAUAUUUCAUAAUUUUGACACCGAAGUCAUUUCAAUACAUUGAUACAUCUUUUCUUUAUUAAGACACUCGAAUAAUAUUAAUAUUAUUAAAAGCUCCCAUCUUAAUAUUUUAAAAAUAAAAAUCCUUCUAACUUACAUACAUCUUUCAGGGUUAAUCCUAAAAACUUUCACAAACAAUAAUAAUAAUUAAUUAUUAUUAAUUUUAGUAUUUACAAAAAUCUAAUCAAAAUACAAAUAUUAAACAAAAGCAUAAUCAAAUGUUUUAAUAUGCUGCAGCUGUUUUGUAAAAAAAUUAAAUAAAUACUUUGAUAGGUAACUAGGUACCUAGGUAUAGGUUCAAAAAUAUUGUUACCUAAUUAAUACUCAUAGUUGCCUAUUUAAUAUAAUUUUCGUUUUGUGCAAUUAAAAGCGGCAUAAUUUAUUUUAACAACAAAAACAUUUUAAUUUUAAAAAAGUCCUAAUUUUCUACUCACUACUGAUAUACAUAAUACAGUUACAUUAUAAUGUUAUUACUAUUUUAUACGUACUCGACGUUGUUGAUCUACUUAUCUUUUUAUUUGUAAAAAGUUGUAGAUAGAGAAAAAUUGUGGUCGGUUCUUAUAUUUUUUGUUUUAUCUGCGUCCCUGCUACGAAUACAGAUUAGUUUCUUAAUUUUUGUAAAUCUAAAUAGAUAAAUAGUAAAUUAAUACAAUAAUACAAAAACCAAAUAGUCAAAUAUUGUAUACAGUUCAAGGUAAGUAUAGAUUUGUAUAACAUGUACAUCAAAGAGUUAUUUUAAUUUUUAGUGAUGUUUCUACUGUUACAAAAAAUCUGUAGGUAUAUUUGUUGAUAAUAAGCGUAUUAUAUAUCUAGUACAUUCUAAAAUUUUAGUGCUCUUUAAGUAAUACUUUUUGAUAUCUUGAAUAAACAAAUAGAUAGAUAUUUAUUACAGAGCAAGAAUGCUUUACCGUCCUAAAAAUAACAACCUAGAUAUUUUUACUUUUUAGUUUUCUUUGUUAGGACGAUCAUACGUAAAUCAAACAUUCGGAUAUUUUUAAGUUUUAGGUGCUUUGUUCUUCUGCGUGUUCAUACAGUAAUUUAAAAGUUCAUUUUAUUAUUUUAUAUUGAUAAAAUAUUUUUAUGAACAUAAACUUCAUACUCAAAACUUUUGGUACUGAAAACCGUCUUCGAGCAUAAAACUUACAGAGUGUAGUAGAUUUACGUUAUCUUAUUACUAAAUUUUUACAUCUACUUAAUAUUGCCAAAAAUGUAUAACAUAUUAUAAUAAUUUACGUCUAUAAGCGUCUUCACACCGAUCACAUUUAACCCUAUAGGUAGGUAACAUUGAUAAUGAUAAGGGAGACUCAAGGAAGACGGUAUACAUACAUUAUACGUAAUACAAGACUGAAGAAAUCUUUAAAUGCGUUUAAGUACACUUUACCAUACGAUGAAAGUUCAAUUAUACAGGAGUGGUUUUUUUAUGUUUUUUUUUUUAUCUUGAUCUAUAAAAUACAAAAAAAAUUAUAGCCGUACUCGUAGGUGUAGAUACCUAGGCAGCGAAAUAUUUGAACAUUUAUGUAACAAACCAAACUCUUGAAACUUCGAACAAAAAAUGAUAAGAUGCUUUUCAUAUAACAACUCCGAUAUUACAGUUUAAAGUUUGAUAAAGUGUAAUACGAAGAAUUCAAAGCUCGUACAAAUUCAAUCUUUUAAUAAUAUUAUUGAAAAUUUGUGCUACUUUUAUAUGUGCUUACUGAUAAAAGCGCACAUAGACGGUUAAAUAGCCGUCUAGCCAAACGGCCAGCCGCCUCCAUCUAUCAUUGUAAAUUGUAAUUUAAAGUUGUCGUUAGUGUGGUAUUCCAUAGUUACUUACAUUUUUGUAUACUGAAUCGAGUUGGUUAUUAGUCAGCCGAUCAUUUAACUGCCAGUACGCGCCUACCUAUUUAAAUGUACCUACCCACUUUUGUUUAUUAAUAAUAUAGAAAUGUGUAUAAUCCGGCAUUCUACACUAACUGAAAAAAUAUACUU